GGGGAAGAGGCGCUGUUGGCCGCGCUCGCCCUCCUGCGCAGCCCGGGCGGACGGGACCGUGUCUGCAGGUUUCUGGCGAACCUGUGCUGAAUGACAAGACGAUCUAGCGCCUCGUGUAGCUAACUAGGUCACUGUCAGCACUUAAUUACUGUUUGUUUCAUUUUAGUGCGUGCCUUAUGAAUAAACCGGCUAUUAGGCUGAUGCUUCAAGUAACUCUAUCCAGCACCAAGGCUCCUCUGUUCAGAUAGCAGAAGCAAGACAAAGCAUCGUCCUUUUUGUGCGCACUGAUUUAAGAAGUCCAACACACCUGAAACCAAGGCAAUUAGCUUUCAGCCUGUGUACCACAGAACGUUGCACUGUUACUGAAGACCUAAAAUUUGAAGUCUGUGGUCCUCAGAGUUGA
rnacentral:lncRNA from 1 species